UGAAUAGAGAAACAAUGGACCAGGA
rnacentral:piRNA from 1 species